UUGCACUAAUAGUGAUAGUUACCACUGCAUUUGGAAAUUGAAAGCAUUCAUGCAGACAAGGAUGAUUCUUUAUAUUUUUGGCUACCACUUCAAAUGCCUCCACCAAGUGUUACAAUGCUGCACGCAGCCAUACUAAGGAUCUCGCAGCAACCCAUGCAGGUAAAAAGCAGAAGCAGUCAAAGUGCUGGUGUGUUCUGGACACUAUGUUUGAAAACUUUUAGGCAAGAAGAGUGCAAGAAGCAGACAUAACAACUGCAUUUAUUUCCAUAAUUCCCCAUUUGAAUGGCCUUUUCUUUUUGCUUAGACAAUGCCUACACCUAGCCACAGCAGCUCCCUCAUACAGACUCCGCAAGCCAAGAGGCCGUGGAGGCAAAUGCAGGCAGCCAGCACACCUCGAACAACCACCUUGACUGCGGGUGUGUCACCCUAGUCGCCAAGGGAACAUUUGAGGGAAAGCGACAGGCAAUGUGAACAGCCACUUCUCCAUGUAAACGAUACUCUUUCUCUCGGAUGACUCCUACGCCUCGCCUCGCCAGCACACUUGUGCACAAAGAUGCCACGGAGGCACGUGCAGGUCAGAGGCAAGAAGCAGUGGUACUGGUGUCGACAUUCACCGAAUUUCUUUUUCUUACACUGAGGCAGCCAGCACACCGCGAACAGCCACCUUGACUGCGGGUGUGUCAGUAGAUUCCUGUUGUACAUAUGCUCAUAAUAAACUUCAGUAAACUUGAACUUGGUAAUAAACUUGAAGGCAAAUGGGA